rnacentral:rRNA from 1 species
UACGUAGGGUGCGAGCGUUGUCCGGAAUUAUUGGGCGUAAAGAGCUCGUAGGCGGUGUGUCACGUCGGCCGUGAAAACUUGGGGCUUAACCCUGAGCUUGCGGUCGAUACGGGCAUGACUGGAGUUCGGCAGGGGAGACUGGAAUUCCUGGUGUAGCGGUGAAAUGCGCAGAUAUCAGGAGGAACACCGGUGGCGAAGGCGGGUCUCUGGGCCGAUACUGACGCUGAGGAGCGAAAGCGUGGGGAGCGAACAGG